AGCAAAGCUACAAUAUAUAAACGAGAAUAAUACUAUACAGUUGGCCCAACUUCAGCCGCCGCCAGUGGCAGAAAGAGAUGACGUAACACAUGCACAUACUGGCAUUGCUGAAUAUGCUGUCAUCCACCGGACACGCAGGGAUCAAGAAAACGUUGCUCUGCCUUCUAGCCAAUACAUGCCUUCAUGUGAUGCUAUGAAUGAGAGUUUCGAAAAUGCAGCGACUGAAAGUACAGUGCACUUAGAACAACCAUCAAACAAGAAUGGUGAUUCAGUGGAAACAGGUCCUGAUGUACG